rnacentral:rRNA from 15 species
GAUGGUUCGAUUAGUCUUUCGCCCCUAUACCCAGUUCAUACGAUCGAUUUGCACGUCAGAAUCGCUACGGACCUCCAUCAGGGUUUCCCCUGACUUCAUCCUGACCAGGCAUAGUUCACCAUCUUUCGGGUCCCAGCGUGUACGCUCUUGGUGCGCCGCAACUUGCAAUAAGUAUGCGACGCCCCGGGAAUGCGAGGUAACAUAAAUAACGUUACCCAUCUUCCCUUUAUAAAAUAUAAUUAUAAAAAUUAUAUAUAUAUUUACUUUCAUUACGCCUUUAGGUUUAUUAUAAAUACCCAAUGACUUGCGCACAUGCUAGAUG